AGUCGUAACAAGGUUUCCGUAGGUGAACCUGCGGAAGGAUCAUUGUCGAUGCCUUACAUGCAGUCCAACACGUGAAUCAGUUUGAAUACAUAUGGUUGGCUUGAGGUGUUCUACACCUCGGCUUACCUCUUGGUUCAGAGGAAGACGACGAAGUGCGUCCUCCUUUGUGCCAAAACUCAAACCCCGGCGCUGAAUGCGUCAAGGAAUUUAAAUUUUGCUCUGAGCACACCUGCAUGGCACCGGAGACGGUUUUCGUGCGUGUUGUGUUUUGACACAUGAUAUAGAAUGACUCUCGGCAACGGAUAUCUAGGCUCUU
rnacentral:misc_RNA from 1 species